rnacentral:rRNA from 1 species
GAUGAACGCUGGCGGCGUGCCUAAUACAUGCAAGUCGAGCGAACAGACGAGGAGCUUGCUCCUCUGACGUUAGCGGCGGACGGGCGAGUAACACGUGGAUAACCUACCUAUAAGACUGGGAUAACUUCGGGAAACCGGAGCUAAUACCGGAUAAUAUAUUGAACCGCAUGGUUCAAUAGUGAAAGACGGUUUUGCUGUCACUUAUAGAUGGAUCCGCGCUGCAUUAGCUAGUUGGUAAGGUAACGGCUUACCAAGGCAACGAUGCGUAGCCGACCUGAGAGGGUGAUCGGCCACACUGGAACUGAGACACGGUCCAGACUCCUACGGGAGGCAGCAGUAGGGAAUCUUCCGCAAUGGGCGAAAGCCUGACGGAGCAACGCCGCGUGAGUGAUGAAGGUCUUCGGAUCGUAAAACUCUGUUAUUAGGGAAGAACAUAUGUGUAAGUAACUGUGCACGUCUUGACGGUACCUAAUCAGAAAGCCACGGCUAACUACGUG